UCCGUGGUCAAGUAGUGAGGACACUCGCCUCUCACUCCGGAGACCCGGGUUCGAUCCCCGGUCGAAGAG